rnacentral:rRNA from 1 species
GGUGAGUAACACGUAGGCAACCUGCCUUCAGGACGGGGAUAACUCCGAGAAAUCGGGGCUAAUACCCGAUAACGCAGCGGCACCGCAUGGUGACAGUUGUUAAAUGCUACGGCGCCUGAAGAUGGGCCUGCGUCCCAUUAGGUAGUUGGCGGGGUAACGGCCCACCAAGCCGACGAUGGGUAGCUGGUCUGAGAGGACGAUCAGCCACACUGGAACUGAGACACGGUCCAGACUCCUACGGGAGGCAGCAGUGAGGAAUAUUGCGCAAUGUCCGAAAGGGUGACGCAGCGACGCCGCGUGGAGGAUGAAGGCCCUCUGGGUCGUAAACUCCUGUUGAGAGGGAAGAACGGAGUGCUAUAGGCGCUCUUGACGGUACCUCUAGAGAAAGCACCGGCUAACUACGUGCCAGCAGCCGCGGUAAUACGUGGGGUGCAAGCGUUGUCCGGAUUCACUGGGUGUAAAGGGAGCGCAGGCGGGUCUUCAAGUCGAUGGUGAAAUCUUGCGGCUCAACCGCAAAACAGCCGUCGAUACUGUUAAUCUUGAGUGUGGAAGAGAGUGGCGGAAUUCAUGGUGUAGCAGUGAAAUGCGUAGAUAUCAUGAAGAACACCGGUUGCGAAGGCGGCCACUUAGUCCAUUACUGACGCUCAUGCUCGAAAGCGUGGGGAUCAAACAGGAUUAGAUACCCUGGUAGUCCACGCCCUAAAACGAUGAAUACUCGGUGUCGGGUCGCAAGAUUCGGCGCCUAAGCAAAACGCAUUAAGUAUUCCACCUGGGAAAGUACGAUCGCAAGGUU